rnacentral:rRNA from 1 species
GACGAACGCUGGCGGCGUGCUUAACACAUGCAAGUCGAACGGAAAGGCCCUGCUUUUGUGGGGUGCUCGAGUGGCGAACGGGUGAGUAACACGCGAGUAACCUGCCCUUGACUGUGGGAUAACUCCAGGAAACUGGGGCUAAUACCGGAUAGGAGCUCCUGCUGCAUGGUGGGGGUUGGAAAGUUUCGGCGGUUGGGGAUGGACUGGCGGCUUAUCAGCUUGUUGGUGGGGUAGUGGCUUACCAAGGCUUUGACGGGUAGCCGGCCUGAGAGGGUGACCGGCCACAUUGGGACUGCGAUACGGCCCAGAAUCCUACGGGAGGCAGCAGUGGGGAGUCUUGCGGAAUGGGCGGACGUCUGAUGCAGAAACGCCGCGUGCGUGAUGACGGCCUUCGGGUUGUAAACCGCUGUCGACUGUGACGAAGCGUGAGUGACGGUAAUGGGUAAAGAAGCACCGGCUAACUACGUG